UACGUAGGGCGCAAGCGUUGUCCGGAAUUAUUGGGCGUAAAGAGCUCGUAGGCGGCCUGUCGCGUCCGCUGUGAAAUCCUGGGGCUUAACCCCGGGCGUGCAGUGGAUACGGGCUGGCUAGAGGCAGGCAGGGGAGAACGGAAUUCCCGGUGUAGCGGUGAAAUGCGCAGAUAUCGGGAGGAACACCGGUGGCGAAGGCGGUUCUCUGGACCGGUACUGACGCUGAGACGCGAAAGCCAGGGGAGCAAACGGG
rnacentral:rRNA from 1 species